rnacentral:rRNA from 1 species
UACGGGGGGGGCAAGCGUUGUUCGGAAUUACUGGGCGUAAAGGGCGCGUAGGCGGCCCUGCAAGUCAAAGGUGAAAUCCCUCGGCUCAACUGAGGAACUGCCUUUGAAACUGCGGGGCUUGAGGCCGGGAGGGGGUAGCGGAAUUCCCAGUGUAGCGGUGAAAUGCGUAGAUAUUGGGAGGAACACCAGUGGCGAAGGCGGCUACCUGGACCGGUUCUGACGCUGAUGCGCGAAAGCGUGGGUAGCAAACAGG